rnacentral:rRNA from 1 species
CAUGGCUGUCGUCAGCUCGUGUCGUGAGGUGUUGGGUUAAGUCCCGCAACGAGCGUAACCCCUGUCUUCAGUUGCCAUCGGGUGAUGCCGAGCACUCUGGAGAGACUGCCCAGGACAACGGGGAGGAAGGUGGGGAUGACGUCAAGUCAGCAUGGCCUUUAUGCCUGGGGCUACACACGUGCUACAAUGACCGGUACAAAGGGUUGCAAUCCCGUAAGGAGGAGCCAAUCCCAAAAAGCCGGCCUCAGUUCGGAUUGAGGUCUGCAACUCGACCUCAUGAAGGCGGAAUCGCUAGUAAUCGCAGAUCAGCACGCUGCGGUGAAUACGUUCCCGGGCCUUGUACACACCGCCCGUCACACCAUGGGAGUUGGUUGCACCAGAAGUAAGUUGUCUAACUUCGGAGGACGCUUACCACGGUGUGGUCAAUGACUGGGGUGAAGUCGUAACAAGGUAGCCGUAGGAGAACCUGCGGCUGGAUCACCUCCUUU